UACGGGGGGGGCAAGCGUUGUUCGGAAUUACUGGGCGUAAAGGGCUCGUAGGUGGCCAACUAAGUCAGACGUGAAAUCCCUCAGCUUAACUGGGGAACUGCGUCUGAUACUGGAUGGCUUGAGUUUGGGAGAGGGAUGCGGAAUUCCAGGUGUAGCGGUGAAAUGCGUAGAUAUUGGGAGGAACACCAGUGGCGAAGGCGGCUCACUGGACCGGUACUGACGCUGAUGCGCGAAAGCGUGGGGAGCAAACGGG
rnacentral:rRNA from 1 species